AUUGAACGCUGGCGGCAGGCCUAACACAUGCAAGUCGAGCGGUUGACGGGAGCUUGCUCCCUGAUUCAGCGGCGGACGGGUGAGUAAUGCCUAGGAAUCUGCCUAUUAGUGGGGGACAACGUUUCGAAAGGAACGCUAAUACCGCAUACGUCCUACGGGAGAAAGCAGGGGACCUUCGGGCCUUGCGCUAAUAGAUGAGCCUAGGUCGGAUUAGCUUGUUGGUGGGGUAAUGGCUCACCAAGGCGACGAUCCGUAACUGGUCUGAGAGGAUGAUCAGUCACACUGGAACUGAGACACGGUCCAGACUCCUACGGGAGGCAGCAGUGGGGAAUAUUGGACAAUGGGCGAAAGCCUGAUCCAGCCAUGCCGCGUGUGUGAAGAAGGUCUUCGGAUUGUAAAGCACUUUAAGUUGGGAGGAAGGGUUGUAGAUUAAUACUCUGCAAUUUUGACGUUACCGACAGAAUAAGCACCGGCUAACUCUGUGCCAGCCGCCGCGUAAAAC
rnacentral:rRNA from 1 species